GGAGGAAUGGCUCAGGUAAUAGAGCACUUGCUUAGCAAGUACAAGGUCCUGAGUUCAAAUCCCAGUACUGCCA
rnacentral:tRNA from 1 species